GACGAACGCUGGCGGCGUGCUUAACACAUGCAAGUCGAACGGUAAGGCCCUUCGGGGUACACGAGUGGCGAACGGGUGAGUAACACGUGGGUGGUCUGCCCUGCACUUCGGGAUAAGCCUGGGAAACUGGGUCUAAUACCGGAUAGGACCACUGCCUGCAUGGGUGGUGGUGGAAAGCUUUUGCGGUGUGGGAUGGGCCCGCGGCCUAUCAGCUUGUUGGUGGGGUGAUGGCCUACCAAGGCGACGACGGGUAGCCGGCCUGAGAGGGUGACCGGCCGCACUGGGACUGAGAUACGGCCCAGACUCAUACGGGAGGCAGCAGUGGGGAAUAUUGCACAAUGGGCGCAAGCCUGAUGCAGCGACGCCGCGUGAGGGAUGACGGCCUUCGGGUUGUAAACCUCUUUCAGCACCGACGAAGCGCAAGUGACGGUAGGUGCAGAAGAAGGACCGGCCAACUACGUGCCAGCAGCCGCAGUAA
rnacentral:rRNA from 1 species